rnacentral:misc_RNA from 1 species
AUCGCUAUCAGGUGUACAUGAUAACAACCGGGACCGACGGCUUAACGUGCUCUCCGAGGCACGGUGGGGAGACCCACAAGAACUGCAUAAACACCUAGACCACGGCAAACACCUGUAUGGCCAAUACAAAUGUUUGUCAUGUGCGGGGAUCGAACCCGCAACCGCCUCCGCAACAGGUACAAUCCAUGGCUUUGAACGUUGCGCCAACGCGGCGUCUAUAAAUAUCUCAUUAU